rnacentral:tRNA from 1 species
GGGCCAGUGGCUCAAUGGUAAGAGCGUUGGACUUGUGAUCAACGGGUUACGUGUUCAAUCCUCGCGUGGUUUA